rnacentral:rRNA from 1 species
GACGAACGCUGGCGGCGUGCUUAACACAUGCAAGUCGAACGGAAAGGCCCUGCUUUUGUGGGGUUCUCGAUUGGCGAACGGGUGAGUAACACGCGAGUAACCUGCCCUUGACUUUGGGAUAACUUCAGGAAACUGGGGCUAAUAUCGGAUAGGAUCUCCUGCUGCAUGGUGGGGGUUGGAAAGUUUCGGCGGUUGGGGAUGGACUCGCGGCUUAUCAGCUUGUUGGUGGGGUAGUGGCUUACCAAGGCUUUGACGGGUAGCCGGCCUGAGAGAGUGACCGGCGACAAUGGGACUGAGGUACGGCCCAGACUCCUACGGGAGGCAGCAGUGGGGAAUAUUGCACAAUGAGCGGAAGCCGGAGGCAGCAGCGCCGCGUGCGGGAUGACGGCCUUCGGGUUGUAAACCGCUUUCGCCUGUGACGAAGCGUGAGUGACGGUAAUGGAUAAAGAAGCACCGGCUAACUACGUG